rnacentral:tRNA from 1 species
GCAAGAAUUACAGUUUUUAGUGUGGAGGACUGAAAAUCCUCGUGUCGGCGGUUCAAGUCCGCCUCCUGGCA